rnacentral:rRNA from 1 species
AACGAACGCUGGCGGCAUGCCUAACACAUGCGAGUCGAACGAGACCUUCGGGUCUAGUGGCGCACGGGUGCGUAACGCGUGGGAACCUGCCCUUAGGUUCGGAAUAACUCCCCGAAAGGGGUGCUAAUACCGGAUAAUGUCUUCGGACCAAAGAUUUAUCGCCUUUGGAUGGGCCCGCGGUGGAUUAGCUAGUUGGUAGGGUAAAAGCCUACCAAGGCGACGAUCCAUAGCUGGUCUGAGAGGAUGAUCAGCCACACUGGGACUGAGACACGGCCCAGACUCCUACGGGAGGCAGCAGUGGGGAAUAUUGGACAAUGGGCGAAAGCCUGAUCCAGCAAUGCCGCGUGAGUGAUGAAGGCCUUAGGGUUGUAAAGCUCUUUUACCCGGGAUGAUAAUGACAGUACCGGGAGAAUAAGCUCCGGCUAACUCCGUG